GCUAGUCGUACGAGUUCAUACUCGUGGCGAAUAGCUCAGUAACACGUGGCCAAACUACCCUUCGGACCACAAUACCCUCGGGAAACUGAGGCUAAUAGUGUCUACCACAGUCCACCUGGAAUGAGGACUGUGCCAAACGCUCCGGCGCCGAAGGAUGUGGCUGCGGCCGAUUAGGUAGACGGUGGGGUAACGGCCCACCGUGCCAAUAAUCGGUACGGGUCAUGAGAGUGAGAACCCGGAGACGGAAUCUGAGACAAGAUUCCGGGCCCUACGGGGCGCAGCAGGCGCGAAACCUUUACACUGCACGACAGUGCGAUAAGGGAAUCCCAAGUGCACAGGCAUAGAGCCUGUGCUUUUGUACACCCUAGGGCGGUGUACGAAUAAGGGCUGGGCAAGACCGGUGCCAGCCGCCGCGGUAAUACCGGCAGCCCAAGUGAUGGCCGAUCUUAUUGGGCCUAAAGCGUCCGUAGCUGGCCGCACAAGUCCAUCGGGAAAUCCACCUGCCCAACAGGUGGACGCCCGGUGGAAACUGUGUGGCUUGGGACCGGAAGGCGCGACGGGUACGUCCGGGGUAGGAGUGAAAUCCCGUAAUCCUGGACGGACCGCCGAUGGCGAAAGCACGUCGCGAAAACGGAUCCGACAGUGAGGGACGAAAGCCAGGGUCUCGAACCGGAUUAGAUACCCGGGUAGUCCUGGCCGUAAACAAUGUCUGUUAGGUGUGGCUCCCACUACGAGUGGGUGCUGUGCCGUAGGGAAGCCGCUAAACAGACCGCCUGCAAUGUCUGUUAGGUGUGGCUCCCACUACGAGUGGGUGCUGUGCCGUAGGGAAGCCGCUAAACAGACCGCCUGGGAAGUACGUCCGCAAGGAUGAAACUUAAAGGAAUUGGCGGGGGAGCACUACAACCGGAGGAGCCUGCGGUUUAAUUGGACUCAACGCCGGACAUCUCACCAGCAUCGACUGUGAUAAUGACGACCAGGUUGAUGACCUUGUCCGAGUUUCAGAGAGGAGGUGCAUGGCCGCCGUCAGCUCGUACCGUGAGGCGUCCUGUUAAGUCAGGCAACGAGCGAGACCCGCAUCCCUACUUGCCAGCAGUACUUCACAGUAGCUGGGGACAGUACGGAGACCGCCGUGGCCAACACGGAGGAAGGAACGGGCAACGGUAGGUCAGUAUGCCCCGAAUGUGCUGGGCAACACGCGGGCUACAAUGGUCGAGACAAAGGGUUCCAACUCCGAAAGGAGACGGUAAUCUCAGAAACUCGAUCGUAGUUCGGAUUGUGGGCUGCAACUCGCCCACAUGAAGCUGGAUUCGGUAGUAAUCGCGUGUCACAAGCGCGCGGUGAAUACGUCCCUGCUCCUUGCACACACCGCCCGUCAAAGCACCCGAGUGAGGUCCGGAUGAGGCACGUUCCACGUGUCGAAU
rnacentral:rRNA from 1 species